rnacentral:rRNA from 1 species
UACAGAGACUGCAAGCGUUGUUCGGAUUCAUUGGGCGUAAAGGGUGCGUAGGCGGUCGGUUAAGUCGGAUGUGAAAUCUCACAGCCUAACUGUGAGCGGUCAUUCGAAACUAGCCGGCUUGAGGACUGGAGAGGAGACUGAAAUGGUUGGUGUAGCGGUGAAAUGCGUAGAGAUCAACCAGAACACCAGUGGCGAAGGCGGGUCUCUGGACAGUUCCUGACGCUGAGGCACGAAAGCCAGGGGAGCAAACGGGAUUAGAUACCCCGGUAGUCCUGGCCCUAAACGGUGUUCACUUGGUGUGCGAGGAGUCGACCCCUUGCGUGCCGAAGCUAACGCGAUAAGUGAACCGCCUGGGAAGUACGGCCGCAAGGCUAAAACUCAAAGAAAUUGACGGGGGCCCGCACAAGCGGUGGAGCAUGUGGCUUAAUUCGAUGCAACGCGAAGAACCUUACCUGGCCUUGACAUACAGCGUGAAAGCCGGUGAAAGCCGGUGACGGUCCGAAAGGAUGCUGGGACUGUACAAAUACUGCAUAGUUGUCGUCAGCUCGUGUCGUGAGAUGUUGGCUUAAGUGCCGCAACGAGCGCAACCCCUGUGUUUAGUUGCCUACGCAAGUAGGAUCUCUAAACAGACUGCCUCGCUUUAAACGAGGAGGAAGGUGGGGAUGACGUCAAAUCAGUAUGGCCCUUACGGCCAGGGCUGCACACGUGCUACAAUGCCCGGUACAGAGGGACGCAGAACCGCGAGGUGAAGCAAAUCCCGCAAAACCGGGCCCAGUUCAGAUUGCAGGCUGCAACUCGCCUGCAUGAAGCCGGAAUCGCUAGUAAUGGCGCAUCAGCUACGGCGCCGUGAAUACGUUCCCGGGCCU